rnacentral:rRNA from 1 species
GACGAACGCUGGCGGCGUGCUUAACACAUGCAAGUCGAACGGAAAGGCCCUGCUUUUGUGGGGUGCUCGAGUGGCGAACGGUUGCGUAACACGUGAGUAACCUGCCCUUGACUUUGGGAUAACUUCAGGAAACUGGGGCUAAUACCGGAUAGGAGCUCCUGCUGCUUGGUGUGGGUUGGAAAGUUUCGGCGGUUGGGGAUGGACUCGCGGCUUAUCAGCUUGUUGGUGGGGUAGUGGCUUACCAAGGCGUUGACGGGUAGCCGGCCUGAGAGGGUGACCGGCCACAGUGGGACUGAGAUACGGCCCAGACUCCUACGGGGGGCAGCGGUGGAGAAUAUUGCGCAAUAGGCGGAAGCCUGAUGCAGCAACGCCGCGUGCGGGAUGACGGCCGUCGGGGUGUAAACCGCUUUCGCGUGUAACGAAGCGUGAGUGACGGUAAUUGAUAAGAAAGCACCGGCUAACUACGUG